UUCUCAGUUGUGUAUGGGGUUUCAUUAGCAAAAACACAGGAAGAUGUUGUCCUUCAAAGUUUAUCAAAUCAUGUUUUUCAUUGGAUUCUUUGCUAUUAACAUUCAGAGUCAAGAAUUUACUGAUAAAUGUGACGAAACAGAGCUUUCUGCGAAGCAAAAGGAAGCAGACACUUGUAUUGAGACACACAAAAUUGAACUUGCAAAUAUCUUGAGUAAUUCCGAAAUUGAAACAAGUCUUGCUCUUUGUCAAAACAUGAGGGAAGUGCUCGGCUGUCUCAUGAAUUUAUUUGAAAGCUGCUAUGAAGAAAACAUAUCGAAGAGAGUGAGACUAAACUUUUUUGUAUGAUCAAGCACAAAUUGCACUCAAUACCUCCCAAUUAUUAGGGAAGCCGUUCCUUCAAGAGUGUGAUUUAUUUCCUUCAUUCCAAAAAGAGUAUAUCUUCCAUGUUACUGGAAGUAACAAAUGCAGCUUUGUUGACUAUGUAAAAGUAAUCAUUCCAAGGAAAAAAGACUGCGAUGUUAAAGUUGAUCAAGAGUGGAAUCAAAAAUUGAAGUUAUCAGCUUUAUUUUCUGGAGCUUCUGCAAGACAAUUCCUACUUAACAUUGCAUGUGAUGCGUAUAAAGAUUUUAUUGAAACUUGUCGAAAACCCUUGAUCGACCAAUGCUUCUCUCAAGAAGAAGGACAGAAUUUGAUUGAUAGAGAUUACAAAAAGGUUUUUAGUGUUUACGAGACCUCCAUUCAAAAAAUCGAUUCAUCUUUCACAUAUGAAGGGAGUUGUUCAAACCUACAGAUUGAAAAUGACUUUUCUGCUAAGGAUUUCUUUGUGCCUUCAAGAAGAAGUAUAAGUAAACGAUCGGCUUCAUACUUUAAAUCUGCAAGAGACUACUUAUAUUCGGAUGAAUUUUAAUAUCAUUCAAAAAAUAUUUUAUCUAAUUUUUAGAAUACAAAUAUAAAAAUAUAAAUACGUUUUUUUAAAAUUAUAAUUAAUUAAUUAUACUCAAGUAAAUACAUAUGUUAGUUA
rnacentral:lncRNA from 1 species